rnacentral:rRNA from 1 species
AUGGUGCCGCCGUGGACCCACGACGUCGAGGAGGCGAUGGCGGACGCGGAGGAGGAAGACGUCGAGGAGCCCCUCGACUGCGGCAUCUGCUUCCUCCCACUCGAGGCGCCGCCGAUCUUCAUGUGCGAAGCUGGGCACCUGAUCUGCUCGCCCUGCCGCGACAUGCUCGGGCUGGCGGUGGGGACGUGCCACGUCUGCAGCGCCAAGGCCGCCCGCCUCGGCUCUCGCCGGAACCUCGGCCGCGACGUCUGGCCGCUCUACUACGAGACCCGCGACCGCAGCGGCGCGCUCCGCGGGCCGUGCCGCUGCCCAGGCGACGCCUGCGGCUUCGUCGACAGCACGGCCGCGCUCCUCUACCACUUCGUCAGCGCUCACGACUGGCCGGUCCACGCCGGGGUGUCCUCCGGGGACAGCAUCGCCGUCCGCCUGCAGGACGGCUUCAACAUCGUCGCCGUCGACUGCAUCGGCGGCGCCUCCGAGCAAGACCGCCUGGAAUUCCCCGGACGGUAUCUGCUCGUGCUGGAGAUGAUCCAGCAGACAUUCGGCCGCACGGUCUUCGCGUUCUGCCUACGUCCCGGCGCCGCCUUCUGGGAGAAGGAGGCGCAGUGCCGCCUCAGCCUCUCCUACUCGCGCAACAUCCUCGACGGUGACGAUGACAAGCCGCCGGUUCAGUGCUACUACCAGACAACCAAGGCCGGCGUGACGUGCACCGAUCUCUCCAGCGGGCUGCCCGACCCCGAGGACUGCUUCCAGGCUCACGUGUUCCGCUCCGCCGACCUGGAGGACAACGAGGACACCGUCGAGGUGACGCUCAGGAUUAUCAUCAACUGA